GUUGCAAUGCUAUUCACUUAAAUUUCCCCACUCAUCCCAUCACCAUGACAGCGGAGUUGCCGGGCCAAACCUCAGCAGUUCUGUGAUCACAUAUGCCAGGCCGCAAACACCCAGAGCAAGGAGUCAGGCCCAGACCAGCAGGACAGGAGCCACUGCUGAAUUGAGGCAGGUCACCAGGAGGUAGCAUAUCCCAGACAUACUCCUUUCAGACAGCAGGGGGAAAAACUGCUCUGCUAUCAAAUCCUACCCCUAUUUUUACAUCAUUAUUUAUCAGUGAUCAGCCGAGAGAGACUAGAGACUCACGGUUAACUAAGCUUCAACUUCCUUCACUUUCGUAAAGAAAUAUCAAAGUCCAUUUCACUAACUGCAGCAAGAACGCGGUCACGCAACUUUGCCUUCCUGGGAGUUUGGCCGCAACAUGA